UUAUUUUCGAUGGCGGUGUUUAGAUGGCGGAUUUCCGCCAUCUAAACUAUCCCGCUCAAAAUUUCGAAUGUCCCCCAAUAUUGAACCCGAUUACCCGAUUAAAUUGACUUAACAUGGCGGAUGUCCGCCAUGUUAAGUAUUCGGGGACUCGGGCGGAAAAAGCCCGCCCAAAUUUCGAUUGGGCGGACUUUCACUUUAGUGCUGGCGGCACUUAAGUGUACUUACAUGGUGGAAAUCCGCCAUGUAAGUUUUGGGGUUUAUUAAAAAUCCCAAAUCGACAGAACGCGUCUGUUCUGUUCUAAAACAUUUCUUUGCUAUCUCCUGCCUGCCGGACUACUGUUUGCCUACUGCUGCCGCUGCUCGUCGCCGCCGCCGCCGCCGCCGCUGCUGCUCGUCAUCGUCUCGUCGUCCGGAGUUCUCGCCGCCGUCGGUCGCCGAAUCCUCUACCGCCGUCCGGAGUUCUCGC
rnacentral:lncRNA from 1 species